CAGCAGCCGCGGUAAUUCCAGCUCCAAUAGCGUAUAUUAAAAUUGCUGCAGUUAAAAAGCUCGUAGUUGGAUCUGGACUAUGGUCUGAAAGCUUGCAGUCACUGUAGCGCGCAAGUGGUGCAGUGAAUGUAAGUGACUAAGAUCAUGUCUCGCAGCUGUGUCUAUUCACUUGUUAACGCAAGUGUUUAGAUAGUAUCGGGUGAUGCGGCUUCUCCUGUAAUGGGAGAAGUGCUAGCCUGAUGUUAUGUCAAGCAAUGCCCUUCAUUGUGUGUUCUUGACGGACAGCACGUUUACUUUGAACAAAUUCGAGUGCUCAAAGCAGACACUAUGUGUCUGAAAAGUCUUGCAUGGAAUAAUGGAAUAGGACUUCGGUUCUAUUUCGUUGGUUUGAUUGACCUGAAGUAAUGAUAAAUAGAGACUGACGGGGGCAUUUGUAUGGCAGCGCUAGAGGUGAAAUUCAUGGACCGUUGCCAGACAACCUAAAGCGAAAGCAUCUGCCAAGUAUGUUUUCAUUUACCAGGAGCGAAAGUCAGAGGUUCGAAGACGAUCAGAUACCGUCCUAGUUCUGACCAUAAACGAUGCCAUCUGAUAAUCCGUAAUCUCUCCAUUAACGUGGGAUUACGGGCAGUCCCCGGGAAACCUGUAAGUCUAUGGGUUCCGGGGAAAGUAUGGUUGCAAAGCUGAAACUUAAAGGAAUUGACGGAAGGGCACCACCAGGAGUGGAGCUUGCGGCUUAAUUUGACUCAACACGGG
rnacentral:rRNA from 1 species